rnacentral:misc_RNA from 1 species
UCUCCGUUGGUGAACCAGCGGAGGGAUCAUUACCGAGUUUACAACUCCCAAACCCUAUGUGAACCUUACCUUUUGUUGCUUCGGCGGGAUCGCCCCGGCACUUCACGGCGCCGGCGCUCAGCGCCCGCCGGAGGCCCAAAACUCUUGUUUAUUUAUGUUUCCUCUCCGAAUGGCACAAGAAAAAUCAAUCAAAACUUUCAACAACGGAUCUCUUGGUUCUG